GGCUUUUAUGUUAUUAUUAUUAUCCAUUAAGAAAGUUAUAUAAUGUAGUCUCAUAGAGACAUUUGGGAUCAAUCAAUGAAAAAUCAAAGUUUAUUUUAUCUUUUAUUCUCUUAGCUUGUAGUGUUCUUCCCCUUUAGUUAGAAAACCCUAAUUUUAUAGUCUUGAUAGGAAUCUUCCUAUCAAUUGGUGCUUUCAUUCAUGUACUCUAAUCCUCCUAUGGAUUAUGCUUAUCAUACACCUUCAUCUCAUCAAUGGAGCAUUCCUCCAACCUAUUCCACACCCACACCAACACCUUCAUUUCCAUCAUUCCCAUGGGAACUCUUUACACCUUACUACACUCAUGGAUCUUCAUCACCAAAAUAUUAUCUAAAUCAUGGAUAUUCACCUCAUACACCUACCUCAUAUCCACCACCACCUAACUCAUAUUCAUCCUAUUCAUCUUCUCAUGAUUCAUACUACUACCCUAAUUAUUAUCAUCAACUCCAACCACUAAACACCUCUUCCAUAAAUGGUCAUCAAUAUCAAACCCAUUUUAAAAUUAGAAGGGAUUCUGUUAAAUCUCUCCGUGUAACUCAUCAUUCUUUUAAAAAAACACUCAAAAAAAAAUUUGCUUAUACCAUUUCCGACAGCUCACUUUACAAUGAAAAUGGGAGAAACCCUCUCCCCACACCUCAAACCCCAUCCUCAGUGGUUUAUCCUUACACCCAUCGUCUCUCCCGAAUUCACUUUCAAUUAAAAUCGAAACAAAUAAGAUCUCCAAUAUUUGCUUCUCAUUUACAUAGAGAAGCUAAACGGUAUCCCCAAUUCAGAGCGACGGCGGAAUCUCUGAGCAAAGCUUCAAUGGCGGUAUCCUGGAUCGGCACAGAUGUUCACCUAUACAACGACCCCGAAGACGUCAACAUCGCCCCUCUCCUUGAUAGCAAGUUUGAUUUCGCGACAACAAAUGUUGAGAAAUUUCUCGUUAUACCAGAAGAUGAAGAGGAUUUUCAAAACAUCCAAACCACUUGUCGCACUGUAAUCGACGAUGUCGGCGACGUUUCCGACGAAGCUUCCUCUAUUGAAUCCUCUCAAUCCUCUCAAGACGACUUAUUCGGUGAAAUCGACAAAGAAAUCGCUCUCAAAUGCAAAGAGUUCGUUAUACAAGGUCUUCUCAAACCUUAUCCCGCCAAAGAGGAUAUUGCCGACGUCAUUCACGCAGAGCUUCAACCAGAUGAAGUCGACGAUGCUGAAGAAAAUGAGCAACUCAAGGGUCUUGCGGUCAAUUCUGAUGAAACUCUGGGAGAUUUAUUAGGUUCUAAUUCUGAUUCUUUCUUUGAUUUAGAUUUUGAGGUAGGUGGUUACUAUUGCUGUCUGUUGAUAUAUCCUAAGGGUGAUUCACAAGCUUUGUCUGAUUAUAAUUCUGUUUAUCUUCAAUUCAUGGACCCUAGCAGAACUUCUUCUUCCAAAUGGGACUGUUUCUCUAGUUAUUGUUUGGUAUUUGUGAAUGUUAUUGAUGAUUCCAAAACCAUUCAUAGUGAUUCUUGGCAUAGGUUUACUGCUACGAAGAAAUCGCGUGGUUGGUGGGAUUUUACGCCUGCUUCCACUAUUUUUGAUCUGAAAUUGGGGUAUAUGUCUAGUAAUGAUUCUGUGUUGAUUACAGCUGACUUUCUUAUUCUAAAUAAGUCUGUUAAUCUUAGCUGGGAUAAUAAUGUGGUGCAGUCUUCGGCUCUGUCAUCGUCAUCGUUGGCGUCUUUAUCGGUUGUUGCAGGCCCUGUUUCUUAUCUUUUAAAUGGGAAGUUCACAUGGAAAGUUCGUCAUUGCAGUUUGCGUAAGGAUAUGGUUAGGACUCAUACGACAAUGAGUCUGGUUUUUCCUGCUGGGACAGUGACCGAGUUUCUUCGGAUUUUCAGUCCAGGUCUUGGUUAUGUUUGUGAAAAGAAUCGAAUUGGCGAUCAGUCUUAUGAAGAGGCCAGAGAUGAAGACCAGAAGCUGUUUUCGCCUCAUUCACUUCUGUCCAAAAUAGACAAGUCUAUUGUUGGAAUUCAUAAGAAUGAUAUAGAAAUUGCUGUCAAGACUUACCGCAUGAUGUCUCAACUGUGGUUUGCGCAUGCGUUUGCGACUCUGUUAAAUGCUGGUACACCUAAGGCUCAGUUGAGUAGUUACUUCUUGAUAUGCAUGAAAGAUGAUAGUACUGAGGGUAUUUAUGAUACAUUGAAGGAGUGCGCUGUCAUCAGUAAAUCUGCUGGAGGAAUUGGUGUUUAUGUUCAUAAUAUAAGGGCAUAUGGCAGCUACAUUUGUGGAUGCGCCAACAUAUGGGACAAUCUCAAAAAUCAACUUGGUAUCUUCCACAAACACAUUAAAGACAUAAUGGAUGCUAAAGCUUAUCGAAUGCUACGCGAAUUAUUUUCGAGACCACACACUGACAACAUGAAGAUCAUCAAGGCUUUAAUUUAUUCACAUGAAGACAAUUUCCCUCUAUAUGAUGGUGUUUCAAAGAAAAGGGGUAGCCGUGAGGCACUUAGGAGAAAUAAUGUAUUAUUUCUGUUUUCAUGCUUGGAGCUUUCAAUGGAUGAGCUUCUAAUACUUGAACAGAUCUACAAUGAAUUUUCUGUUAUGAUUGUCCAGUCUAAACAGUGGGAUCCAGGAGUGGAAAAAGAAAACUGGAUUUAGCAAUUUGUUUUUACAACCUUGAGGACAAGGUUGUUUUGAAGGGGUUGGCAAUGAUAGAAGGGUAAUAAUAGGAUUUAUAUUAUUAGUAUGGUUAUUGGGCUUUUAGUAGUGUUUGGGCUUUUAUGUUAUUAUUAUUAUCCAUUAAGAAAGUUAUAUAAUGUAGUCUCAUAGAGACAUUUGGGAUCAAUCAAUGAAAAAUCAAAGUUUAUUUUAUCUUUUAUUCUCUUAGCUUGUAGUGUUCUUCCCCUUUAGUUAGAAAACCCUAAUUUUAUAGUCUUGAUAGGAAUCUUCCUAUCACUAUACCUAUCACCGGUACCGGAAUUAACCCGGCCAGAAGCUUCGGCGCUGCUGUUAUCUUCAACAAUGGCAAAGUUUGGGAUGACCAAUGGAUUUUCUGGGUUGGACCGUUCGUGGGAGCGGCGGCUGCGGCGGCGUACCAUCAGUAUAUUCUGAGAGCGGCGGCUAUCAAGGCGUUGGGCUCGUUCAGAAGCAACCCCACCAACUAAUUAAUUAGGAAUCAUGCAUA